UGGGGAAUAUUGCACAAUGGGCGCAAGCCUGAUGCAGCCAUGCCGCGUGUGUGAAGAAGGCCUUCGGGUUGUAAAGCACUUUCAGCGGGGAGGAAGGCGAUAAGGUUAAUAACCUUGUCGAUUGACGUUACCCGCAGAAGAAGCACCGGCUAACUCCGUGCCAGCAGCCGCGGUAAUACGGAGGGUGCAAGCGUUAAUCGGAAUUACUGGGCGUAAAGCGCACGCAGGCGGUCUGUCAAGUCGGAUGUGAAAUCCCCGGGCUCAACCCGGGAAUUGCAUCUGAUACUGGUCAGCUAGAGUCUUGUAGAGGGGGGUAGAAUUCCAUGUGUAGCGGUGAAAUGCGUAGAGAUGUGGAGGAAUACCGGUGGCGAAGGCGGCCCCCUGGACAAAGACUGACGCUCAGGUGCGAAAGCGUGGGGAGCAAACAGG
rnacentral:rRNA from 1 species